UAGUCAAAGCGCAAUGAUGGCUGGCACGUGGAUAGAAGGAUUGAGGCGCGUUAAAUGCGUAGGGAGAGAUUGAAUGACAGAUAAAACACAUUAUACUCUCACCAUUCAUUCCGUUUCCGCUUCCAUCCUCGUCUCCGCCGUGCCGGAGGAUCCCUCGGCGGCGGAGCUACAUGCACAAUCCCGAAAUUGGCCCGCCCAAACCCUCUAUCUUCGCACCUGAAUCUAUCAACAUUAGCAUGCCUAAGAUGCCUUAUUAUCUUGCAGGGGCGAUGAUGUGAUGUGGAUUUGGCUUCUUGAUUGCAGUUGCACUGUUGAAUUUGUUGCGGGCGGGUUUGCACAGUUUGAAAUGGAUGCGAUACAGCCAGUUUUUACGUAUGCUUUAUGUGAGAAAGCGCAUUGGCCGCUUGUUUACAGUCCUGGCCUAGGUUUGACAGGGUGAGCAAUAACGUUGCUCGAUGGAUAGCUUGAAUUGCUGUUAUAAUAUUGCUGGAUCCACCAUCGACCGUUAUGUGUGGCUAACAAGUGAAGUUGUUGCUAUUGCCAUGGUUAGGCAUUCAGAGCUUCUACUUUCUUCUUGGGAUAUUAUGCAGGAUGCAAGGCUUAACCUUUGUGGCUACUCGCAAUUUCGACCUCCGAGUUGAGCAUCUUGAUAGCUGAAUCGAAACCGUAAAUUUCCAAACUGUUGGGGCAGUUGCGUAGCAUUGGGUUGUUGGAAAUUGUUGCUCCCAAAUACACCUCAAUACCCUGCUUGAUAAGCUAAAAAUGCUUCAUCCUUCAGGUUUUCUUAGCAGUUAUUGUUUGGACGGUAGCUUUACGGUUUCUCCGGUCUCGCUGAAGGACCAUCUGGCGCUGAUUUAACACUUGCGCAACUUAUGCUCUUCUCCAGUUUUUCAACAGGGCGUCCAAUGACAUCCUUAGCUUAUGUAAUUUGUUUUUUUUGGGUAAUAAUUUAAGUUUUAUAUUACUUAUGUAAAGAAUGGAUGUACUAGCAUCCGGUCUAAUGCACGGUUCGGAGUCCCACAUGUGUGGUGAUAGGAAGUAACGAAUUGUUUACCAUUGGUGUCUCAAACACGCAUUGCUUGACUUUGUAUAUUUCCGGUCCAGGAAUUAUGGUGAUGAAAUUGAACAUGAUAAUGGAAUUUUGUA